AACCACCGGCGCGUCACUACGUUUUGGACUGUAGAGAACAUUUAGAACACAUACACAGCCAUACGAUUUGUAUAUCGCUUCCUUUCUCUCGGAUUUUGAGUGUUAACUUCGUUUUAAAUACUGUGGAAAAGUUUAGUUUUGUGCAUUGAUUGGACAUGGCAAUACAAAGUGAUGAUCUGCGCGAAGCCUGUUCGAAGCUGAGAGAAACUCUCGCCAAAAACCAGAUUCGAUUGGAUGCCAUACAGAAAGAAAUUGAAUUGAAAUCUAAGAAGCCUAGCUCGACAAUCAGUAAUUUACAAAUUCAACAAGCUGGUCCUAUUGCAGCAUUCGAAACAAGGAAGCAGGGUCUAGCUUCCAUGCAAGAAGGACUUAAAGUGUCUGAUUGCCAGCCCAAUUUUCCAGACAAUAAGAUUCUUUUGAUUAAAUUAGCUAGAUUGUGGCAAUCACGUUCAAAAACAUAAAUCCAAAAUCUAUUAGUGGAAGAAAAACUAA